GCUAGUAUGGUUUAGUGGUUUGGGAGCGUUGGACUAUGACUCUGGAGACUAGGGUUAAAAUCCCUGCUUAAACA